GAGUUUGAUCGUGGCUCAGAAUCAACGCUGGCGGCGUGCCUCAGACAUGCAAGUCGAACGAUUAAAGCUCCCUUCGGGGAGUGCAUAAAGUGGCGCACGGGUGAGUAACACGUAAGUAAUCUGCCUUCGAGUGGGGAAUAACCCGGGGAAACCCGAGCUAAUACCGCAUAAUGCAGCGGCACCUAAUGGUGGACAGUUGUUAAAGGAGCAAUCCGCUUGAAGAGGAGCUUGCGGCAGAUUAGCUUGUUGGUAAGGUAAUGGCUUACCAAGGCUACGAUCUGUAUCCGGUCUAAGAGGACGGUCGGACACACUGACACUGAAUAACGGGUCAGACUCCUACGGGAGGCAGCAGUCGGGAAUUUUGGGCAAUGGGGGAAACCCUGACCCAGCAACGCCGCGUGAAGGAUGAAGUAUUUCGGUAUGUAAACUUCGAAAGAAUAGGAAGAAUUAAUGACGGUACUAUUUAUAAGGUCCGGCUAACUACGUGCCAGCCGCCGCCGUAAG
rnacentral:rRNA from 1 species